ensembl:lncRNA
AAUUUAUUCAGUAUGUUUAAAAAAAUAAUACACUAUGGAGCGAUAUAAAUAUUACAAAAUGGAAAGAUAAUGACAGACUUCACGAUGACAGAGUAUGGCGUUAAACCGCUUGUUACAGAUAAAUACAGUCCAAUAUUUCGGCCUUUCUUGGACAUUAAAGGGUCCAACGGGUUUCUUGCUUGGCUUUGGCUGCUGUAGACGCUUUGUUUAAACAUCCAUGUGUCUGUGAUGGUUCUGAUGGCCUCGAGGCUCAUCAGGUAUCAGGCUAACAGUAUUUUAACAAAUACUUAGAAUAGGCCUUCAUUUCCAUCCAUAGAAGCGCUUCAAAUAACCGCAUCCAUACACGAGUUGUAGGGUUAACCCUAACCCCAACUCUUAAACUAAUCGUCACGGUGCAUGCCCAGUUUACUCUCCCAGGUUCAGAUGUUUCUAUUCCAGUCGUUUGAUUGGCUGAGGGCUGUUCUCCUGUGGAACCAGACACCUCCAGGAUUUAGGGUUAGGGUUAACCCUAACCCUAACCGUCCAGGAUUUACACUCUUUCAGUUUACACUCCCUUCUUGUCUUUCAGUCACUGCUUUGUUCUUUUAAAAUCAUUCUACAAACUCUCUCCCAAAAAGGACAGCUCAUGAGUCUUCAUAUGCUGUCCUGGACACUUCAGAAGGUAUUUAGAAACACGUCUAAAGAUUGAUCGGCUCCCACUUCCAAUUAAAUAGAAAUAUCUUUGGCAGAUAUAUUUGGUGAUUGUACUGUGUGUGUGCGUUUGUGUUUGUGUCUCUCUCCAUAGAUAGGUCAGGGGUCAGAUCAGGUUGUGACAACAGGCCAGACUGGGUUUAGGGUUAGGAAGCCCAGCGCUCGGCUCGUCAGGAGGCCUUUGAUUUCCCGGCCGGACGCGCGCCUAGGGACUUGGUUUGAGUCCCCCCCGGCCGCCUGCUCUGCGGUUCAGUCUUUGGUUCAGUGGUUCACUCCUCAGGGGCCCUAACACAGAGGCGUGUGUUCCAUACCCAGUCAGCUUCAUGGAAAACAUACAAUACAGUGAAAGGCUUCCAGGAAAACAGAGCUGAGGACCUCAGGCGAACCACCGUCCUCCCUCCCUCCCUCCCUUUGUUCCUUCCUUCCCAGCUGCUGAGAUUUUCUCCUCCUUCUCUCCUUCUGGGAUGAUAUCGGAGUGAGGAGUAGGAGAACAUCUGACAGCGGCCGUGGAGCCUUUGGGAGUGGGCCGUGCUGCAGAGACCCCCACUCACUCCUCUGCUGGGUCCAAGAACACUUGAGGGUGAGCAGAACAAGCACCACCACCACCAGCACCACCACCUCGUGGUCCCAGCCCUCAGCACUUGGUGAUCAUGGUGUCCUCGCUGGACCUCCUGGAGUGGUCGGUGGCCACCAGCAAUCUGAGGUUGUUUCCUGCUGACCGGAUGCGCUCCCUGCCACUGGGGGAGGGGGGGAGGGAGGGAGAAAGAAAGAGAACCAAUAAACGAAUGAGAGGAACACUAAAGUUUGCUAAAAGACAUGAAAACGUAUUUUGUACUCGAUGACACCCAAUCCCAGCAUGCAUCUGUGAGAUCAAACCCAUUGUAUAUAAUAGGGUGGGAUAUAUUUAUAUACAUUAGUGCUGUCAAGCGAUUAUGAUAUUUAAUCGCGAUUAAUGUCAUAGUUAACUCGCGAUUAAUCACAAAAAAAAUAUAUAUUCUAAAUAUCCCUUGAUUUCGUGCUGCUAGCCUUUUGGUGAGAUCAGAGAGUGUUGAGAAGGACAGUAAUAAAAUAUAUUUGGUAAGAUGGUAAGAAGAGAGACCCGCAAUGAAUUGAAACCGGUCCACUUGACAUCGGGUAGGUGCAUGACAGUGGUAGGCCUACCGUAAAACUUCAAUAGCCCAGGCUUAUAUUUGUUUCAACUUUCGAACAAAUCUCUUGCUCAGCAAAGAUGGGAAAUACUAUAACAUUUAUUAUUUAAACCAGUAUGAAUAUUCCUACCGUACGUAGGCCUAUAAACAUUACCAGGCUAUCAAUA